UACGGGGGGGGCAAGCGUUGUUCGGAAUUACUGGGCGUAAAGGGCUCGUAGGUGGCCAACUAAGUCAGACGUGAAAUCCCUCGGCUCAACUGAGGAACUGCCUUUGAAACUGUCGGGCUUGAGGCCGGGAGGGGGUAGCGGAAUUCCCAGUGUAGCGGUGAAAUGCGUAGAUAUUGGGAGGAACACCGGUGGCGAAGGCGGCUACCUGGACCGGUUCUGACGCUGAUGCGCGAAAGCGUGGGUAGCAAACAGG
rnacentral:rRNA from 1 species